rnacentral:siRNA from 1 species
UGAGACGACAUGGUUCGCUCA